UACGUAGGGGGCAAGCGUUGUCCGGAUUUACUGGGCGUAAAGAGCGUGUAGGCGGCCAAACAGGUCCGUUGUGAAAACUGGAGGCUCAACCUCCAGACGUCAACGGAAACCGUGUGGCUAGAGUCCGGAAGAGGAGAGUGGAAUUCCUGGUGUAGCGGUGAAAUGCGCAGAUAUCAGGAAGAACACCAAUGGCGAAGGCAGCUCUCUGGGACGGUACUGACGCUGAGACGCGAAAGCGUGGGGAGCGAACAGG
rnacentral:rRNA from 1 species